CACGUAGGGGGGCAAGCGUUGUCCGGAUUUAUUGGGCGUAAAGGGCUCGUAGGCGGUUCGACAAGUCGGGUGUGAAACCUCCAGGCUCAACCUGGAGACGCCGCUCGAAACUGUUGUGACUAGAGUCCGGUAGAGGAGUAUGGAAUUCCUGGUGUAGCGGUGGAAUGCGCAGAUAUCAGGAGGAACACCAAUUGCGAAGGCAGCUCGCUGGGACGUUACUGACGCUGAGACGCGAAAGCGUGGGGAGCAAACAGG
rnacentral:rRNA from 1 species